rfam:Gavia stellata contig103518, whole genome shotgun sequence.
GUCUGCGGUGUCUCUUCAGAUUGUAUAAAUCUUUUGCCUUUCACUAAAGAUUUCCGUGGAGAGGAACGGGCAUGAGUGUCAAGGAAUUUUUUGAGGCUCCAUUUCAGUGUUAAU